rnacentral:rRNA from 1 species
GACGAUUCCUACGGGAGGCAGCAGUGGGGAAUAUUGCACAAUGGGGGAAACCCUGAUGCAGCAACGCCGCGUGAGUGAUGACGCCUUCGGGUUGUAAAGCUCUGUCUUCAGGGACGAUAAUGACGGUACCUGAGGAGGAAGCCACGGCUAACUACGUGCCAGCAGCCGCGGUAAU